GGGUUGGAGUUAGGGUUAGUGUUGGAGCUAGGGUUAGGGUUGGGCUUGGAGCUAGGAUUUUUCUGAGUGCACUGAACCAACUCCCGAGUCUCUAGGACAUUCCUAAAAAAAUUUGAUUUUUUCCAAUAGGAAUGCAUGGGUUAGGGUUAGGGUUAGGGUUGGAGCUAGGGUUAGGGUUAGGGUUAGGGUUGGAGUUAGGGUUAGUGUUGGAGCUAGGGUUAGGGUUGGGCUUGGAGCUAGGAUUUUUCUGAGUGCACUGAACCAACUCC